AAUCUGAAUUUACGGUUAAAAAACUGAAAUUGUGAAAUGGACAAAAUGAGAUUAGGGGGGAAGGACACUAAAAGAAAAAUUUGGACCAUUUUAAAGAGAUUGUGACGGGCAACGACUAUAUAGGUGUUGUAGAGGAGACAUUGGCGCAUCGUUUUAGAAAAUCUCCAGAGUGGUUUAUGUUCGAAAAUCUGAAGUUACGGUUAAAACAAUGAAAUUGUGAAAUUGACAAAAUGAGAUAAGGGGGUAGGCCAAUUUAAGUUAAUUUUUGACCAAUUUCAAGAGAUUGUGUCGGGCAACGACUAUAUAGGUAUUGUAGAGGAGACAAUGGCGCAUCGUUUAAGAAAAUCUCCAGAGUGGUUUAUGUUGGAAAAUCUGAAGUUACGGUUAAAAAACUGAAAUUGUGAAAUUGAUAAAAUGAGAUUAGGGGGUAGGCCAAUUUAAGUUAAUUUUGUAGCAAUUUCAAGAGAUUGUGACGGGCAACGACUAUAUAGGUGUUGUAGAGGAGACAUUGGCGCAUCGUUUAAGAAAAUCUUCAGAGUGGUUUAUGUUCAA